rnacentral:rRNA from 1 species
AUUGAACGCUGGCGGCAGGCCUAACACAUGCAAGUCGAACGAGUGGCGGACGGGUGAGUAAUGUCUGGGAAACUGCCUGAUGGAGGGGGAUAACUACUGGAAACGGUAGCUAAUACCGCAUACCAUCGGAUGUGCCCAGAUGGGAUUGGCUAGUAGGUGGGGAAAAGGCUCACCUAGGCGACGAUCCCUAGCGGGUCUGAGAGGAUGACCAGCCAUACUGGAACGGAGACACGGUCCAGACUCCUACGGGAGUGAGCAGUGGGGAAUAUUGCACAAUGGGCGCAAGCCUGAUGCAGCAAUGCCGCGUGUAUGAAGAAGGCCUUCGGGUUGUAAAGUACUUUCAGCUGGGAGGCGUUACCCGCAGAAGAAGCACCGGCGAACUCCGGGCCAGCAGCCGCGGUAAUAC